UCAAAAGACACAAAUUGUCCACUAUGGU
rnacentral:sRNA from 1 species